rnacentral:piRNA from 1 species
UAGAAGAAGGCAGUGCAUGUACACGAAGGU